UGAGUUGCUAAAUGCUCUUUAUGCACAAGAGCAAAGAAGGCAGAUUAGAGAAGAUGGUUCAAUUGAAGGUGCAUUGCAAGCCAAGUUGCAACUUAAGGACACUUGGAAAAAUAAGAAAAAAAAAGGGAAAGAAGAGCAAAGACAAUUCAGGUGCAGGUGUUGGAAGCAAUUCUUUUCCUGGAACAAGCAACAAUGGUGUAGCAGGCAACAAAGGAAGAAAUUAUCACCCUUGUCAACAUUGUGGCAGAACCAAUCAUCCUCAUUUUAGAUGUUGGAGCAGACCUGAUGCAAAAUGCAACACAUGCAAUCAGAUGGGGCAUAUUGACAAAAUUUGCAAAAACAAAGGCAAUCAGGUAGUGAAUGAGGCUCAAGCUGUGAAUCAGGAGGAGGAAGAACAAUUAUUUGUGGCAUCUUGCUACGUUAGUUCGGCUGAUACUUGGCUUGUUGACAGCGGUUGCACCAAUCAUAUGUCCAACAAUAUCGAACUCUUCAAGGUUCUUGAUAAGACAUUGCUAGAAAUUGUCUUAGAUACUGCUGAUUUGCUAAAGUUGUUAAACGUGAUAUUUAGUUCCUAUUUUUCUGUUUAAGUGGGUUGUUAAAUGACUUGGUCUACAACCUGUAAUCAAGUUUUAGGAAAUUUAUUAUUUUUUUUUUCUUUUUCUGUUAAGCAUGUUUCCAUGUUUUGAUCAUGGUUAGAAUCAUGGACCAUGAUCUUCAUCAUCAGUUAUUUUUAUUUUGUAUUUAAACAAUAUUUUGUUUCAAUGAAAAGUGUGGGGUUCAGUUCUGUUCUUCUCCUUCUCUGUUUUGCUAACAUUUGGUAUCAGAGCUCCUUAUCUUAAAGGACCUGUGAUCGUUUGAGUGUGAGUUUUUUCCCGUUGAGUGUUAUACAGAAAUACUAACCCUCUCCAAGUUUCAAAUCUUGAUUCAAAUGGCUUUAAGAGAUUAUUGUCCUGUUCCACCUCCAGUGUUCACUGGAGAAAAUUAUCAAUCAUGGGCAGUUAAAAUGACUGCUUAUCUACAAGCAUAGGAUCUUUGGGAAGCAGUGGCUGAAGACCUUGAAAUUGAUCAACUGCCUGAGAAUCCAACUAUGCAGCAGAUCAAAACACACAAGGAGAAAACUACAAAGAAGUUUAAGGCCAAAACAUGUUUGUAUUCAGCUGUGUCUGAAUCAAUUUUUACCAGGAUUAUGAACUUGGAGACUGCCUUUCACAUUUGGCAGUACCUCAAGACAGAGUUUCAAGGUAAUGCCCGUACCAAAAGCAUGAGUAUCUUGAAUCUCAGAAGGGAACUUGAACUACAAAAGAUGAAAGACUCUGAAACUGUAAAAGAGUAUGUUGAUAGGCUGCUGGAUAUUAUCAACAAGCUUAGGCUUCUUGGUGAAAAAAUUCCAGAUAGCAGAGUUGUUGAGAAGAUUCUGGUAACAUUACCAGAAAGAUUUGAAGCCAAAAUUUCUGCACUAGAGGAGGUUCGUGACCUUACAGAAAUUUCCUUGACUGAGUUGCUAAAUGCUCUUUAUGCACAAGAGCAAAUAAGGCAGAUUAGAGAAGAUGGUUCAAUUGAAGGUGCAUUGCAAGCCAAGUUGCAACUUAAGGACACUUGGAAAAAUAAGAAAAAAAUGGGAAAGAAGAGCAAAGACAAUUCAGGUGCAGGUGUUGGAAGCAAUUCUUUUCCUGGAACAAGCAACAAUGGUGCAGCAGGCAACAAAGGAAGAAAUUAUCACCCUUGUCAACAUUGUGGCAGAACCAAUCAUCC
rnacentral:lncRNA from 1 species